rnacentral:lncRNA from 1 species
GUUUUUAUUUCUUUUGCACACACAUGCUCACUUGGGCCGAUUUCAGCCCUGGACCACUCCACAAUAGUGCAAUUCGGUCCAUUGUUGUUUUUUAACGUCAUGUGAUUUUGUUUUUCCAAUUUCCAAGGACUUUGCUAAUUUCAGGAAAAGCUUUGUUUUUCAAACGAGCGUAGUUUCUAAACCGUGCAUCGGAUCGGAGUGAUUCAAAUUUUGUAACUUGUCUACAAUUUCACGUAGGUUAAUAAUUUCC